CAUGGUACUUGGCACAAGUCACAAUGCUAAGCUAUAUUUUCUGAAUGGAUAGAUGAAUAAUCAGAAAGGGGAGGUGAAGAGAGAGAAAACUGACCCUUAACAUUUGCAGCAUUGUAAAUGUUAAUAUUUUUAUUCCUUUUAUGAUGAAGAGAGUGCAAAGGGCUGGGGACGGAGACAUCACAGGAGGAGGAAAGAUAAUGCCACCUCUGCAAAAGACACUCCUAAACGACACAUAGAAGAGAAGUAGACGCCCCAGGACAGCCUUUCCCAUCCAGAAUAUUGAGACCAAUCCAAAAUGAGAAACUGAAUGCCCAAGACCACAGAGCUCCGAGAUGAUAGAAACAGGAGCUGCAAAUCAAAGUUUCCUGAUUCUAAGACCAGAGCCCCUUCCACCACACUCCAGCUCAGCCUCACUAAAAAAUUCCAGUUUCAUCUUGUUCCACACAGGACCCACAUGUUCUACAGCCUGGGUCAACCCAGGCUUGAGAAGACUCCCCAAGAACAACUGAGGCAUGCUCUGAGAUGGCAAAAUGCCACUCAUGGAACCCAGGUAAAGCUUCCAAGCAGUUGUUAGUGAGGGACCAGCAUGCACACUUCAGAAUCUGCCAACUGAAGAAGUGAUUUUCAACAGAGAAACCCUAACAAAACAGCAGUGUUACAAGUCACUCAGCCAUGACAGAAGCACUUUUUAAAGACUGCGCUCCAAUUAGCAAGUGUCUUUAGCAGACCCUAUGUACUGUUGUCACAUCUGUGUUCAAGAUUCCUCGUCCCCUUUUAAAAUAAGCCUGCAAGCUAGUGUAGUUAUACAAGGCAGCCAAAUUGCACGAAACUGUCAACUCUUCCUCCGGAACAGAUUAAGACCCUGCAGCCAACGGGAAGAUAUAACUGCUCCCCAUUUUAUGAGCAAUUUCUUUCCUUCCAGAUUUUUCAGAGACUGGAGUCUAAACUCAAAGCAAUAAUCAUCCAACAAAAAUGCCUCUGGGAUAACUGGGAUCAGUUCUGGGGCAGCUGAGUCCUACUGUUUUUCAUGUUUGUACAUUUUUUACUCUGUGAUUAAUGGAGGAACAGAUGAGAAAACAGAGGGUGGAAAGGGAGAAAGAAAACAGAUAUCAUUUGACUCUGCAUACUCAAAAAUGUAGAAGAAGGGAAGGUGGAAGAGAGAUCGUGCCGGUCAGCUUCUCAUUCGACCCGCAUUGGUCAAACAAAAUCAUAUAAUUUCUACUCCCUCUCAUGCUUUUCUUCAAAUAGUUUGGGAGUUAAUGACAAACCAGUCACACGCUGGCAAGUUUGAAACUAAACAUAACUUGCCUUCUCUCCCUAGCAGGGGUAAACACAAGAAUCAACAGAAUGAAAGAAAAAUCCAACUGUCUUUUCAGAGCCAAGCAGAGGAAAGAGAAUUGGAGCCAUGGAGCCUUGCGAGAUCAUGCAGUCUGACCGCUCACUUUCCAAAUGCGGUGGGAGCCUAGAGAGCUGAACCCGUGGUUCAAGGUCACCCGGCAAGUUGUCUUUAGAACCAGGAUCUAAAUCCAGGCCUCCUGAUUCAGAGCCCAGGGUUCUUCCUUUGGGAUUUAAGAAAUCAUCUGAGUGUGUUUUGCUGUGGCUCUACAAGGGGAACAUUAGAGAGGGGCCCCACCCAUAUAAUAGCCCCCUAAGUUGGAGGAUUAGACAGACAGUUGUAAUUUGGUCAUCCCCAUGCUCUGUGCCAGGCAACUGGCCUGGCUACUGGGAACCACUGGAGACUGUCAGUCAUUGAGGUGAGGCUGGAUUCUGAGCCAGCCAUCUGUCAGAAGGGGUUUUGGAUAAUUAAAUCAGCUCACUAGAGGCAGUGGGGGGGAUGGGAAAGACCCAAUAAUGGGGCCCCCGACCUGAAGCUGCCUGUGUGACCCUCUCCCCAUCCCUUCCACAGGCUGGCUGAGCCCCUCCUCAGUCAUGGUAGUAAUCAAGCUGGUCCAAUCCCUCCAGGGCUGGCUACUGCUGUGAUUUGCAGAGCCCUCCCUCCCCAGGAUGAAGAACUGCCCUGAGUCCAGUCCUGUGGCCCCGGCUGUGCUGACUGAGCCCACACUGGGCAGAGGGAGCAGACUCUCAAGUCUGUCUCACCCAUCACCAUGGCUAAGCACAUACACUUUGGAGCUGAGACUCACUGGAUCCAAAUCCUUGCUCUACCACUUCCCAGCUGAGGAAACCCCUGAUCUCUAGACUGCGUUCUGUCUACCUAUAAAAUGACUUCGAGAUUUGUUUUGAGCAUUAAAUGAGAUAAUCCAUAUAAAUCACCCAGCAUGGUGCUUGCUCAGGGUAAGCACUCAAUCAAUGGCCGCUGUUUUUGUUACUGAGGGGUCCCCUCCAUCCAUCAGUCUUUUCCUCUUGAUCUCCCAUCAUUGUUCUGUGUGCUGCUGGAGUGACCCUCAGAGUCUUGUGCUUGACCACCCCUAACCCCCAUUAUACCACAUGCGUGCUGGGAGUCCUCAUAGAAUCUUCUCUCUACAGUUACCAUAACAGCAACCUGCCAGUUGGGCUUCCUCUUCCCCAGGCUGACCUUCCACAGGGUCUGUUUCCACCCAUUUCCCCGACCCACCCAGUGGUCCUGCUUUCAUCCUGGCUGCUGUGAUUAACUGGCCUCACAGACCAUAGCUCCUAGGAUGGGCUCUGACCAAGUACUAGGGUAAGACAGUCACACGGCACAGUGAAGACACAGGCUCAGACCAUUUCCAUGUCCUUAACCACGGCAGAGCCCAGUCAGAAGAGAACAGUCCUUCUCCCCAAAAGACUUUAUAGUAAACUAUUUCCCAGCAAUGAAACCCAUUUUAAAUUCAGACAGAGAGAAGGACCUUGGUACUCAAAACUGAGAGAGCACAUUUAAUCGGGGCAGGAGAGAGCUACUUAAUUUCACUUCUCUUUGCCUAAGCUUCUUUGACCCCUCUCCCCAUUCGUUUGCUCUCAAUCAAUAUUUCUCAAACUGUCUGUGGUGAACGUCCCAUUGUUUCUUUUCCCCAAACUAUUGGGUACCAAUACUUUUGUAAAACAGUCAAAAUAAAUUACUACCAAACUAAGAUGUCACUUGGAUGUCACAGCAAUGUUAAAUUGCUAUAAAGUUCCAGAAAUACUUUCAAUUUCUGUACUUAACUUUCGGCGAACUGGUAAACGUUUCGCAGACCCAUACUAGUCCUGGACCAAACUGAGAGUAGGGCUGCUUCUGGAAGGAACAGAACCACAGAGGAGUCCAUCUGCCACGGACACCCCCCAUUCUGGGUUUUUGCCCUGUAAUGCAGUCUGCCCAGCAGUGGCCCUGCCCCACCCAGAGCAUGCAAUGGAAAGGUUCCUUGUAGAACUUGCCCAGUCUCCAGUAAGUGCUGUUCCCUGAGCGUCAAGCAUCCCCCAGUGAGAGGGAUAUGCUGCGAUAAUACCGGCCGUGUGCAGCCUGCUGGCUCUUACCAUUCCAUUCCAGCCCUGUUGAUCUCCUCCCACCAGCAUUCUGUAGGCUCCCCGAGGCUCUGAGGCGUGGGCAUGCAGGCGUAGUUCCACUGUCUGUCAGAACCUUCCUUCUUGUUGAAGAUGCUCUUCACGGCCACCACCACCUCCCCAUGGGGACACUGGUAGCUGAAGCCCUGCCGGUUCAGAUUCACCCACCCAUCAUCACUAUAGUCAUGGUACUGCUGGUAUGAGUACGCGUAGUCGUCAUACUGUCCCCAGGCCACGGUGACCAGUGGCAGAAGCACCCACAGAAGAGCAAGGUCCAUGCUGUCUGGGUUUCUGGCAAAAAAUGUCACCCUGUGUCUGCUGGGCUGCUGGUUUUAUAGAGCUGCUGCUGACAUGUGGCUUCCAGAUGUGGGUGAGCAGGCUCCAACUGCAGUGUGUCAUCGUUUAAGCAAAACUUUUCAGCGUGGAGAUAUUGGCCGUAAGUACAUUCAGUUUGUUUUAAGGUGGAAUUCUAAGAAAACGUACGGAACACGCAAAUGGAAGAAACUCCCUAGAGAAGGAACAACUUAGCAGAUAGAUUAUAGAAGCAAAUGGCUUCACACUCCUCAGAAACAUUCACUUGAAAAAAGGAGCAAAUUUAUCCCACAUCUCUUAGCACUUCACUUCUCUCUUCCCUACCCCACCCACCACUAGCAAACCCCUGUAUUUGUUCUCCAAACCAGCCUUCCAGGACCACACAAAUAUGCAGAAAGUGAUUUCAAAACACCAAAAUAAUAGGUUGAAGGGUCAGAGUUAUUUAGAUUUCUGCAAGGCUAGAUGCCUGCUCUAAGUUCUCAGCCCAACAUCUUUUAACCCCGAGUAUAAGCACGGAAUGCCAGUUUGCAGGCUACUCUGAGAAUUUUUAAGUCACAUAUGGAAGUACUAUGGGCCCCUGGAGAGAUAAGUUGGGCAUUAUCACUACAUUUAAGCAUCCUUCUGAGCUGCUGAAAUUGGACCCAUCUACACCUAGAAACUGUGCUCGGCUGUCAAAUACAUCAUGAGUUUAAUUUAAAUAAAACCACUUUUUAUUCUUUGGUGGUUUUCCCCUCUGUGUUGAGUUUUCUUUUUAAUGAGGUAUAAUUUACGUAUAAUAAAAUUCAUCUCUUCCAAUGUUCAGCAUACAGUCAUUCAACCAGUACCAUAAUCAAGACACAAAACAGUUCCCUCAACCCUCUAGGCCCCUUAUGCCCCUUGGUAGUCAAGUCCUUCCCAAUACCCAGCCCCUGGUAACCACUGAUCUACUUUCUGUCACUGUAGUUUUGCCUUUUCCAGGAUGUCAAAUAGAUGGAAUCAUACAAUAUGUUGUCUUUUGUCUGACUCCUUUCACUAGGAAAAAUGCUUUCUGGAUCCAUCCAUAUUGUUGUGUGUUAGUGUCAAUAGUUCAUUCCUUUACACUGUUGAGUGGUAUUCUAUGGUAUGGCGGUACUACAGACUGCUUAUACAUUUACCAGUUGAAAGACAUUUGUUUUUUUCCCUAGCUUUUAGUAAUUAUGAAUAAAACUACUAUAAACAUCCAUGAA